rnacentral:rRNA from 1 species
AUUGAACGCUGGCGGCAUGCCUUACACAUGCAAGUCGAACGGCAGCACGGGUGCUUGCACCUGGUGGCGAGUGGCGAACGGGUGAGUAAUACAUCGGAACGUACCUUAUCGUGGGGGAUAACGCAGCGAAAGCUGUGCUAAUACCGCAUACGCCCUGAGGGGGAAAGCGGGGGAUCGCAAGACCUCGCGCGAUUAGAGCGGCCGAUGCCUGAUUAGCUUGUUGGUGGGGUAAAAGCCCACCAAGGCGACGAUCAGUAGCUGGUCUGAGAGGACGAUCCGCCACACUGGGACUGAGACACGGCCCAGACUCCUACGGGAGGCAGCAGUGGGGAAGUUUGGACACUGGGGGCAACCCUGAUCCAGCAAUGCCGCGUGAGUGAAGACGGCCUUCGAGUUGUAAAGCUCUUUUGUCAGGGAAGAAACACCGGCUCUAACACAGUCCGGGAAUGACGGUACCUGAAGAAUAAGCACCGGCUAACUACGUGCCAGCCGCCGCGGUAA